rnacentral:pre_miRNA from 7 species
GUCUCGGUCUCUUGGGUGGUCACGUCGAUCCCGGACGAGCCCCCAAAUGAAAGAUCCCCAAAGGGAGACCCUCACUCAAGCCUCGGGAUGUGGCGCAGACCCAAGAGAGACACGGAGACUG